rnacentral:rRNA from 1 species
GACGAACGCUGGCGGCGUGCUUAACACAUGCCAGUCGAACGGUGAAGCGCCUUCCUUUUUGGUGGGUGUGGAUGAGUGGCGAACGGGUGAGUAUCACGUGAGUAACCUGCCCCCUUCUUCUGGAUAACCGCAUGAAAGUGUGGCUAAUACGGGAUAUUCUGGGUCUGUCGCAUGAUGGGUCUGGGAAAGAUAUUGUUUCGGUGGGGGAUGGGCUCGCGGCCUAUCAGCUUGUUGGUGGGGUGAUGGCCUACCAAGGCGGUGACGGGUAGCCGGCCUGAGAGGGUGGACGGUCACACUGGGACUGAGACACGGCCCAGACUCCUACGGGAGGCAGCAGUGGGGAAUAUUGCACAAUGGGCGCAAGCCUGAUGCAGCGACGCCGCGUGAGGGAUGGAGGCCUUCGGGUUGUGAACCUCUUUCGCCAGUGAAGCAGGCCUGCCUCGUUUGUGGGUGGGUUGACGGUAGCUGGAUAAGAAGCGCCGGCUAACUACGUG